AUGGAUGAUAAAGGCAACGAUGGCAAAAACUUGGGUGAUACAGGCAAGGAUGACAAGGACAUGGGUCAUAGAGGCAACGAAGGCAAAGGCAUGGAUGAUAAGGACAAUGAUUUCGUAGCCAUGGACCCCAAAGGAAUGGAUGGUAUGUGCAUGGAUGAUAAGGAUAAUGAGGAUGCAGGCAAGGAUGGCAUAGACAUGGAUGAUGUACACAUGCAAGGUAAAGGAAUUGAUAAUAAAGGCAUGGCUGGUUCAGACCUGAAUGAGUGUAUGGAAUACUUAGAGAUUGUGAAGAAGACUUUCAGUACUGAGGAAGAAGCCUACAUGUUCUAG
rnacentral:rRNA from 1 species